GAUGAACGCUGGCGGCGUGCUUAACACAUGCAAGUCGAACGGAAAGGCUCCUGCUUGCAGGGGUACUCGAGUGGCGAACGGGUGAGUAACACGUGGGUGAUCUGCCCUGCACUUCGGGAUAAGCCUGGGAAACUGGGUCUAAUACCGGAUAGGACCACAUUUUGGAUGGUGUGGUGGAAAGUUUUUUUCGGUGUGGGAUGAGCUCGCGGCCUAUCAGCUUGUUGGUGGGGUAAUGGCCUACCAAGGCGUCGACGGGUAGCCGGCCUGAGAGGGUGUACGGCCACAGUGGGACUGAGAUACGGCCCAGACUCCUACGGGAGGCAGCAGUGGGGAAUAUUGCACAAUGGGCGCAAGCCUGAUGCAGCGACGCCGCGUGGGGGAUGACGGCCUUCGGGUUGUAAACUCCUUUCGCUAGGGACGAAGCGCAAGUGACGGUACCUGGAGAAGAAGCACCGGCUAACUACGUGCCAGCAGCCGCGGUAAAAC
rnacentral:rRNA from 1 species